rnacentral:rRNA from 1 species
UACAGAGGGUGCAAGCGUUGUUCGGAAUUAUUGGGCGUAAAGAGCUCGUAGGUGGUUUGUCGCGUUGUUCGUGAAAACCGGGGGCUUAACCCUCGGCGUGCGGGCGAUACGGGCAGGCUCGAGUUCGGUAGGGGAGACUGGAAUUCCUGGUGUAGCGGUGAAAUGCGCAGAGAUCCGGAGGAACACCAAAGGCGAAGGCAGUGUCCUGGGAAGUACCUGACGCUCAGGUGCGAAAGCCAGGGGAGCGAACGGG